GGUGGUUCUUGGGUGAUAUAGCCCAGAAUUGGGCUUCCUCCUCUCUGGUUCCGGGGUGCGUCACCCGA
rfam:Myotis brandtii contig131235, whole genome shotgun sequence.